GUUGUAUAGUCAAGUAAUUAAGUGCAUGUGGUGGAUGCCUUGGCAGUCAGAGGCGAUGAAAGACGUGAUAGCCUGCGAAAAGCUCCGGGGAGGCGGCAAAUAUCCUUUGAUCCGGAGAUGUCUGAAUGGGGGAACCCACCUACUUUAAGGUAGGUAUUGCAACAUGAAUACAUAGUGUUGCAAGGCGAACGAGGGGAAGUGAAACAUCUCAGUACCCUUAGGAAAAGAAAUCAAUUGAGAUUCCCUCAGUAGCGGCGAGCGAACGGGGAUCAGCCCAUUAAGUUAUGUGUGUUUUAGUGGAACGCUCUGGGAAGUGCGAACGUAGAGGGUGAUAUUCCCGUACACGAAAGGGCACACAUAAUGAUGACGAGUAGGGCGAGGCACGUGAAACCUUGUCUGAAUAUGGGGGGACCAUCCUCCAAGGCUAAAUACUCCUGACUGACCGAUAGUGAACCAGUACCGUGAGGGAAAGGCGAAAAGAACCCCUGUGAGGGGAGUGAAAUAGAUCCUGAAACCGCAUGCAUACAAGCAGUGGGAGCACCUUCGUGGUGUGACUGCGUACCUUUUGUAUAAUGGGUCAGCGACUUAUAUUCAGUAGCAAGGUUAACCGUAUAGGGGAGCCGUAGAGAAAUCGAGUCUUAAUAGGGCGUUUAGUUGCUGGGUAUAGACCCGAAACCAGGCGAUCUAUCCAUGAGCAGGUUGAAGGUUGGGUAACACUAACUGGAGGACCGAACCCACUGUCGUUGAAAAGCCAGGGGAUGACUUGUGGAUAGGGGUGAAAGGCUAAUCAAGCCUGGUGAUAGCUGGUUCUCCCCGAAAGCUAUUUAGGUAGCGCCUCGGACGAAUACCAUAGGGGG
rnacentral:rRNA from 1 species